UAACACAGAAGUAAAAUUUACAUUUAGUUUCGACCUAAAUUUAAGGAAAAUAAACCUCAUGUUUUAA
rnacentral:tRNA from 1 species